GCUGAAUUUUCCCUAAUUCCCGAGUGCCAAGGCAAGAAGAGGGAUCUGGCCACCCUUCGCUACUGGGAAUGGAAAGACAAACUGGAGGAAUUUGUGAGAGAGCAUCAGUCAGCAGAAGGUCCAAGAGUCUCAAAUCCAGGACAUGAAGCCUGGCAUGUGCAGCUGAUCCUACCAUCUCAUACAGAAGGGAGAGAAAGAAGUGAGAGAGGGCUUGCAUCUGAACAAAUGGAGGGAAAUGGAAGUGGUUUUAGCCUAGGUUGGCAUUUUGUGAACCCAGAGAGUUG
ensembl:lncRNA